UACGUAGGGUGCAAGCGUUGUCCGGAAUUAUUGGGCGUAAAGAGCUCGUAGGCGGUUUGUCGCGUCUGCUGUGAAAACUCGGGGCUUAACUCCGGGCCUGCAGUGGGUACGGGCAGACUAGAGUGCGGUAGGGGAGACUGGAAUUCCUGGUGUAGCGGUGAAAUGCGCAGAUAUCAGGAGGAACACCGGUGGCGAAGGCGGGUCGCUGGGACGGUACUGACGCUGAGGCGCGAAAGCUAGGGGAGCAAACGGG
rnacentral:rRNA from 1 species